UACGAAGGGUGCAAGCGUUACUCGGAAUUACUGGGCGUAAAGCGUGCGUAGGUGGUUUGUUAAGUCUGUUGUGAAAGCCCCGGGCUCAACCUGGGAAUGGCAAUGGAUACUGGCAGGCUAGAGUGCGGUAGAGGGUAGUGGAAUUCCCGGUGUAGCGGUGAAAUGCGUAGAGAUCGGGAGGAACACCAGUGGCGAAGGCGGCUACCUGGACCAGCACUGACACUGAGGCACGAAAGCGUAGGGAGCAAACAGG
rnacentral:rRNA from 1 species